rnacentral:lncRNA from 1 species
AGGCUGGAGUGCAAUGGUGCGAUUUUGGCUCACUGCAACCUUCACCUUCUGGGUUCAAGCAAUUCUCCUGCCUCAGCCUCCCGAGUAGCUGGGAUUACAGCUGGAUCUACCAUGAAAGACUUGUGAAUCCAGGAAGAGAGACUGACUGGGCAACAUGUUAUUCAGAAUCUUCCUGUGCCAUCCAGGCUGGAGUGCAGUGAUGUGAUCAUAGCUCACUAUAGCUUUGGCCUUCUGAGAUCAAGCAAUCCUCCCAUCUCAACCUCCCAAGUAGCUAGGACUACACACGCAUGUCACCCAUGCCCAGAUCAUUUUUGUAGAGUCAGAGUUUCACCGUGGUGGCCAGGUUGGCCAUGUUGGCCAGAUGGGGUCUUCUUUUGUUGCCCAGGCUGGCCACAAAUUCCUGGGCUCAAGUGAUCCUCCCACCUCGUCCUUGUAGAGAUGAGAUUUAGUUAUGUCGUCCAGGCUGAUCUCAAACUCCUGGGCUAAAUCGAUUGUCUCACCUCAGCCUCUCAAGUAUGUUAUGAAGGUUAUAUGUUAGGAAGGGUCCCAGGAGGUAAACCCACACAGAUGGGAUUUGGGCAUAGGUUUGGUUUCCCAGGGGGCAGUGCUGAGCUCUUUGCCAGUGGGAAAUGGGAUGCUGGUGAUUUCCAGUAGGUGACCUCACAGUGACUCAAGCUACCACUUACUGUUGAUUGUGACGAAAUGCCAGCUGAGGCACAUGCCUUGGGAGCUAAGUGGUUGCUGCCCUUGACCACUGUGAAGACUGGUGUGGGAAGGGUCGUUUUGGAUGCACUUGAGCAGGGGUCCCCAACCCCUGAGCCAUGGAGCCGCAAGGAGCCACACAGCAGGAGGUGGGAACAUCCAGUUGCAGGAAAACAAGCUUAACACGCCCACUGAUUCUACAUUAUGGCUGAAGCGAUCCUCCCACCUCAACCUCCCACGUGGCUGAGACUACAGGUGCUUGCCACUAUGCCCAACUAACAUUUGGAAUUUUCGUAUACGUGGAUUCUAGAGGGGUGACAGCGAAACGUGGGACCAUCCAGUUGCAGGAAAACAAGCUUGACACGCCCACUAAUUCUACAUUAUG